rfam:Bacteroidetes bacterium GWF2_40_13 gwf2_scaffold_40, whole genome shotgun sequence.
UGUGCGCGGGUAAGUCUUAUACGACCAGCUCCUGUUGAACUCCCCCAGGUCCGGAAGGAAGCAAGGGUAGAUGGUUGAGCGGUGCGAUGUAAGUAGCUUACCCGUUU